GCUAGGAGUCAAAUCAGAGCUACAACUGCCAGCAUACACCACAGCUCAUAGCAACACUGGAUCAUUAACCCACUGAGCAAGGCCAGGGAUCAAACCUGCAUCCUCAUGGAUACUAGUCAAGUUCGUUUCUACUGAGCCACAAUGGCAACUCCUCAAUUCUACAUUAAUAAGAAAAAAAUAUUUUUUUUUCCUUUUAGGGCCGCACCCUCUGCAUAUGGAAGUUCCCAGGAUAGGGGUCGAAUCAGAGCUGUAGCUGCUGGCCUAUACCACAGCCACAGCAACAAAGGAUGAGCCAUGUCUGCGACCCACACCACAGCUCACAAUAAAGCCAGAUCCCCGACCAACUGAGUGAAGCCAGGAAUAGAACCUAUAUCCUCAUAGAUACUAGUCAGAUUCAUUUCCACUGCACCAUGAAGGGAAUUCCCAAGAAAAUUUUUUUUAAAGUCAUAAGCCCUCCAGAUGGAGAUAACAUGUGGAGAGACCAUGUGGAGAGAUUCUGAGAUGAUGCAAAGAGAAGGAGGCUUUGUCACCACUGUUUGCCAUGUAAGCCCUGCCUUCUAGCGGUUCUCACCAUGAUGCCAGCCAUGGGAGGGAUGCAUACGGUGUCUUGCCAGCCCAAGGAAGCCCCCAUGUGACUGCAGCCCCAGCUGACAUCACAUGGAGCAGGAGAACUGUCUGCCUGAUCCCAGCCAACUCACAAAAUCAUGAGAGGCAAUAACAUGGUUAUUUUACUGGAUUUCAAAACAAGGAGGUGGAGACGGGGUGGGCGUGAUGACUAAGCAAUAGAUAACUGAGACAGCCAGCAAAAAUCUUCAAAUGUGAACUUCUUGGAGAAGGACCAAGAACUAAAUGUCAAGUUAAAUUGCAAAGCUGCAGACCAAGUACUGGUCAACAUUGAUGAAGUAAAAAGAACAUGGGGUUUGAGUUGGUGCAACUGGUUGAGAACUGACUGAGCUACUUAGGAGCUUUUUAACCUCAAAUAAAUCAUUUGACCUUUUUUCUCCUCUAUCCUCUUAUCGUAAAAUAUGGGCAUCACUGAUGUCACUUUCCGGGGCUUCUGAGAAAGGGCAGACGAAACCGUUUAAGAGAAGAUGCUUUUUACCAGUAAGGCCGAUUGCUUUCUGCCCCUCUUCUUUUCUUUGAGCUUAGAGAUUUGUUGAUCAUGAACAGUGGCUUUUUAAAAGAGAACACUGUUGUAUCCUACCUUGGAGUGACAAGAGGAUGCCCAGACCGAAGUAACAUUUUACCCAUCUGACAUCCAAGAAAGGGCCCCCAGGGUAGUUCUCAUGUGCUCAGCAUCCUAAGCCAUUUCCCCAAGGUUCUAUAGAAGAGGCUAGAGAGCUCAGUGGAGCCUCUUCUGCUUGAGCACUAAUUCUGCUCAUGCAGGCUGCACCUCAUGCCUAAUCCUUUCCCUCAGUCCCCAUCUACUCAUAUCAGCAUCUUUGGGAGUUGGGAUUUCAACAUAUGAAUUGAUGGGGGUAGGGUGGGGGUCCCUCAGCAAUGAAUAAAAGCAGGGUCUUUGCACUUUGACCUUAGUGCAAAGUGCCCCAGGAAUGGGGCCUCGGGAAUCUGCCUCUUGCUAAAUUUUCCCAGUGGUUGAUCUUCAUUCCCUCUUAAGAUUGAGACCCAUCGGCCUUGCCCGGAUCAAACAGGAUCAUUUAGAAAAAAACAAUGAGAGAGAUAAGGUAUCAUGAUAUUCCAGACCCAGGGAGAAGGGGAGUUUUAUACCUGCUAGCCCAGGAACUGUUUCCAAACGGACCAUUAGCCAUUGAGUCAAGCUCAGGACUGGCCAGGAAAGGAGCUCCCCCAUGUCCGAGCUGAGAGUACAUCCUCCCAGUGGCUCUUUGGCAUUGCAUUUGCACACAUAGGGGCUGGGUGACAAGCCCUCGUCUGGUCCUGACAUGAAAAGUCCUGGUGGGUGGGUGUGUCUGUAUGCCUGUGUGUGAGUGUAUGUCUAUGUGAAUGUGUGAGUGUUUACAUCUGUGCGUGUGAGCAUGUGUCUCUGUGUGUGUGUGUGUGAGUGUACGUGUGUGUGUCUGUGUGUUGAGAUUGUAUGUCUCCAUGUGUAAUUGUGUGUGUGUGAAUGUGUGUCUCUCUGUGUGUUUUAGUGUGUGUCAGUGUGUGUGAGUGUGUCUCUGUGUGUGUGUCUGUGUGUGAGAGUGUGUAUGUGAGUAUGUGUCUCUGUGUGUGUGAGUGUGUCUGUGUGUGAGUGUUUUCAUGUGUGUCUGUGUCUGUGUGUGAGUGUGUGUCUGUGUCUGUGUCUCUGUGUGUCUGUGUGUGUGUGUGUGUGUGACAAGGCUCAAACCCAACUCCAUCUCACUCUUUACCACAAACCCAUUUUAGAUUGAUUAGAGCUUGAAAUGAAAAAAGUAAAAGAGAAAACAUAGAAAGACAAUUUCAUAAUCUUCCACAGAACUUCUCAGCAUGACACCAAACUCAGAGGCUGUAAAGGAAAAGAACUUAAAAUUUCAGCUACCUGAAAGUAAAAACCUUUUUAUGAAGAAUAUAAUGAGGGGGGAAACUAACAUUUAACAAACACAUGAAAACUUAGGGCGAGUGUUUGCAGCAUUUGCUACCAACAAAGGGUUAAUGCUCACACUAAACUAAUUCCCACAAAUCCAAGAGAAAACUGGGCAAAGGAUAAGAAUAAACAGUCCACAGAAGAAGGAAAACAGACAAUAAAUAUGAAAAAGAUGUUUAAGAUUACUAAUAACCAAAGUAAUACAGCUUAGCAUAAUAGGAAAACAACAAGUUUUGGCAGAGACCGAAUGAUUUCUGAUAACCAAGUCGGUGAUAACAAGGAGCCAGGCACAGCUAUUUUAAGUGUAAACUGUUGAAAUCUUUUUUGGAGAGUAAAGGGUCCACAUCCAGGAAAGUCUAAAACUUGUGCUCCAUUUGUCCCAGCAAUUUUAUUUUUAGGAGUUUAUCCCAAACUGGUCACUGCACAAAUAAAUAGCUCUAUGGAUACAGUACGAGGCUGGUGUUUUCAAAGAACAUCUGGGAUUUUGAAGAAUUUGGAUUGAGGCUAGGGGCCCAUUUGGAGAAUGUAUGGCCCAGAUGCUUCCACGGAAUAUGACCCUUGACCAGCCGUUGGUCAAGGAGGGGACACUUGAGCCUAGGGGUCCAACCAGGAUGAAUGGCACAACUCUGGCUUGCCCUGUAAGUGGCAGCUUUUCCCUCUCUUCCUCUGUAACACUGGGGAGAGAAUGUAAAGCCUGGUGCUGCUGUAACAAUCAUUUUGCCACCACCAGGGGAAAUAACCUUCUGAAAAAAACCAGCUUGCAAAGGAGGGCAGGUCAGGGGGAAACAAAUGCCAAAGAUAACACAGUAACAACCAGCGGAGCUAGAAACACUGGAUUAAGUCCAACUUGAAGCUGCCAUGUCCAUGAACUUCAGUUACAUAAGCCAAUAGUUUUCUUUAUGAAGCCAAACUGAAUCACUUUCUGAAACUUGCAGCAAAAUGCCUCGUGAUAUAGCCAUCAGGAGAGAAUUGGUUAAAUAAAUUAUGACACAGCCAUUUAACAAAAUACUGCGCAAGGGAUUAAAAAAGUGUAGGUCCCCCAAAAGAAUAUGUACUGGUAUUUAUAGCAGCACUAUUUACAAUAGUCAAGACAAGGAAGCACCCUAAACGUCCAUCAACAGAUGAAAGGAUAAAGAAAAUGUGGGGGUUGUUUGUGUAUGUGAGAGAUGUUAUAUAUAAUACACAGACACACACAUACAUGAUGGAGUAUUACUCAGCCAUAAAAGAGAAUGAAAAAAACGCCGUUUGCAGCAACAUGGAUGGACCUAGAGAUUCUCAUACUAAGUGAAGUAAGUCAGACAGAGAAAGGCAAAUAUAAUAUGGUAUCACUUAUAUGCGGAUUUGUUAAGGGAUAUAAAUGAACUAAUUUUACAAAACAGAAAGAGACUCACACACACAGAAAACAAACUUAGGGUUAUCAAAGAGGAAAAGUGGGGGAAGAAUACAUUGUGAGUUUGAGAUUAAUAGAUACGCACUACUAUAUAUAAAAUGGAUAACCAACAGGGACCUACUGUAGAGCACAGGGAACUAUACUCAAUAUUUUAUAAUAACCCCUAAGGGGAGAGAACAGUUAUAAAUACAGUUAUAUAACUGAAUCACUGUGAUGUACAUCUGAAACUAACACAACAUUGUAAAUUUACUAUACUUCAAUUAACUAUAUACACAUAGAUCACUGCAUAGGCCGUGUAAUGUACAAAUCUCCAUUAGGUACCUUUAUCAGGAAAAUGAUGCUAUCACCCCAUUUAGUUAAAAAAGUAAACUGAGCUAAAGAUAGAGAUAUAAAUGAGAAUCAUAGGGGAAGAGAAGCUUUUAUUUCUAUCUUUAUACACUUCUGAUUUUUUUAAGGUUUUUGCAAUACAUAUGUGUUCCUUUUAAUAUAUACAUCUAUGCAUAAAUAGAUAUUUCAGUUUGGGAACUCUGAAGUGCUCUAAGUAACAUCAUUGUUAAAAUUAUGAUCUUAAAAUUUAAACAGGUAUUUUAAAAACAGGUUUUAAUGGCAUGGUCUCCAAAUCUCAUUUUUUUUACAUCAGAUCAGUGUGCAUAAACUGAUGCUUAUUUUGCCGUUAAUCACUUCUUCUAGUUUCUUGUCUGGCUGAAAUAGAAUGUGUGUCUUAAUCACUAAAAGUAAUAAAAAUAAAAACCAUCUCACAGGGCCUGGCGCACAAUGGCUCAUCAAUGACAGUUUGCAUUGUUAUUCCAUUUUCUCAGCAUGAAGGGAGCCCUUCCUGAAAUUCAUUUUCGCUUGGGGAUCAGUGUGUCUUCCUCUGACUUUACAUUCAUCAAAUGCCCUGGAAGUAUCAGCCAUUCACCUGGGUCCAGCUCAGGGACUGUGCUGAGUCUCCUAACCCUGGAAAUGACAGCAGUAGACACAGCCUCGGGAAAAC
rnacentral:lncRNA from 1 species